GAUCCCUUAGCUCAGCGGUAGAGCGUCUGAUUCCAGAUCGUGUUUCCAGAAGGUCAUCCGUUCAAUCCGGGUAGGGGUCA